UGGGGAAUAUUGGACAAUGGGGGGAACCCUGAUCCAGCCAUGCCGCGUGUGUGAAGAAGGCCUUAUGGUUGUAAAGCACUUUAAGCGAGGAGGAGGGUACUGGUAUUAAUACUACCAGGUACUGGACGUUACUCGCAGAAUAAGCACCGGCUAACUCUGUGCCAGCAGCCGCGGUAAUACAGAGGGUGCGAGCGUUAAUCGGAUUUACUGGGCGUAAAGCGUGCGUAGGCGGCUAAUUGAGUCGGAUGUGAAAUCCCCGAGCUUAACUUGGGAAUUGCAUUCGAUACUGGUUAGCUAGGGUGUGGGAGAGGAUGGUAGAGUUCCGGGUGUAGCGGUGAAAUGCGUAGAGAUCUGGAGGAAUACCGAUGGCGAAGGCAGCCAUCUAGCCUAACACUGACGCUGAGGUACGAAAGCAUGGGGAGCAAACAGG
rnacentral:rRNA from 1 species